rnacentral:rRNA from 1 species
CUCCAGACUCCUACGGGAGGCAGCAGUGGGGAAUAUUGCACAAUGGGCGAAAGCCUGAUGCAGCAACGCCGCGUGAGCGAUGAAGGCCUUCGGGUCGUAAAGCUCUGUCCUCAAGGAAGAUAAUGACGGUACUUGAGGAGGAAGCCCCGGCUAACUACGUGCCAGCAGCCGCGGUAAUACGUAGGGAGCAAGCGUUGUCCGGAUUUACUGGGUGUAAAGGGUGCGUAGGCGGCCCUGCAAGUCAGAAGUGAAAUCCAUGGGCUUAACCCGUGAACUGCUUUUGAAACUGUAGGGCUUGAGUGAAGUAGAGGCAGGCGGAAUUCCCGGUGUAGCGGUGAAAUGCGUAGAUAUCAGGAGGAACACCGGCGGCGAAGGCGGCCUGCUGGACCGCGACUGACGUUGAGGCUCGAAAGCGUGGGGAGCAAACAGGAUUAGAUACCCCGGUA